GGCAGUUCUCAAGUGACACACCCCAGAAUCAGGCUCCCUCCUCUCUGGUUCCAGGUGCAUUACCCGAGAACCGCA
rfam:Myotis lucifugus cont2.6228, whole genome shotgun sequence.